rnacentral:rRNA from 1 species
GACGAACGCUGGCGGCGUGCCUAAUACAUGCAAGUUGAGCGCUGAAGGUUGGUACUUGUACCGACUGGAUGAGCAGCGAACGGGUGAGUAAAGCGUGGGGAAUCUGCCUUUGAGCGGGGGACAACAGUUGGAAACGAAUGCUAAUACCGCAUAAAAACUUUAAACACAAGUUUUAAGUUUGAAAGAUGCAAUUGCAUCACUCAAAGAUGAUCCCGCGUUGUAUUAGCUAGGUGGUGAGGUAAAGGCUCACGAAGGCGAUGAUACAUAGCCGACCUGAGAGGAUGGGCAGCCACAUUGGGACGGUGACCCGGCCCAUACGCCCACAGGAGGCAGCAGUAGGGAAUCUUCGGCAAUGGGCGAAAGGCUGACCGAGAAACGCCGCGGGAGUGAAGAACGUUUUCGGAUCGUAAAACACUGUUGGUAGAGAAGAACGUUGGUGAGAGUGGAAAGCUCAUCAAGUGACGGUAACUACCCAGAAAGCGACGGCUAACUACGUG